rnacentral:rRNA from 1 species
GGGAAACUCACCAGGUCCAGACAUGACUAGGAUUGACAGAUUGAUAGCUCUUUCAUGAUUUUAUGGGUGGUGGUGCAUGGCCGUUCUUAGUUGGUGGAGUGAUUUGUCUGGUUAAUUCCGAUAACGAACGAGACCUUAACCUGCUAAAUAGCCCGGCCGGCUUUUGCUGGUCGCUGGCUUCUUAGAGGGACUGUCUGUGUCUAACAGACGGAAGUUUGAGGCAAUAA